GAUGAACGCUGGCGGCGUGCCUAAUACAUGCAAGUCGAGCGAACGGACGAGAAGCUUGCUUCUCUGAUGUUAGCGGCGGACGGGUGAGUAACACGUGGAUAACCUACCUAUAAGACUGGGAUAACUUCGGGAAACCGGAGCUAAUACCGGAUAAUAUUUUGAACCGCAUGGUUCAAAAGUGAAAGACGGUCUUGCUGUCACUUAUAGAUGGAUCCGCGCUGCAUUAGCUAGUUGGUAAGGUAACGGCUUACCAAGGCAACGAUGCAUAGCCGACCUGAGAGGGGGAUCGGCCAAACUGGAACUGAGAAACGGGCCAGACUCCGACGGGGGGCAGAAGGAGGGAAUUUUCCGCAAGGGGCGAAAGCCUGACGGAGCAACGCCGGGGGGGUGAAGAAGGUCUGCGGAUCGAAAAACUCUGUUAUUGGGGAAGAAAAUAUGUGUAAGUAACGGUGCAAAUCUUGACGGUACCAAAUCAAAAAGCCACGGCUAACUACGG
rnacentral:rRNA from 1 species